AGGAGCAGCAACCCAGUGAUGAGCAACCGAAAAAAAGGGAGGCACCACCUGAGCGUCAGGAUAUUCUACCUGAUCAAGGGAAGGAAAUUGAAGCAGGACCUGUGGCUCAAGGACGGGACCUGCAAGCUGAUCUCCAGGAGCUGCCUCAGGCAAAGGCUGGGGGUAUAACUGAAGAUGACCCUGAUGCAAGGGGCCAAGUCUACCCUUCUUAGAGCCCAUUAAAAUGCCGGAAGCAGGUGAAGGACUACUCCAGAUUUAAACAAGGACAAGCUGAAACAUGCAGACUACUCUUAUGUGGGGUACUUCACUGUUGUAGUUCUCUCAAUAAAGUGUUACAGACGUUCCACAAAGAAUCUU